rnacentral:ncRNA from 1 species
GAUAUUGUUGAAAGGAGAGAAGGUUGUCAUCUCCCUUGAUAGGGAUGGGAACAACCUUUGGGCUUACCUGUUAGCUGUUACCAUAUAUCUUC